rnacentral:rRNA from 1 species
AUGUCAUGCAGAUGCCGCUCCAUGGUGGGCGAAGUGGGCCCCCCUCCUGCAUUUUCAGAUUGUAUUCCAGAGGAAGAUAACUAUUCAGAUGGGGAUUCAGAAGGAGCUGACCACGCCUGUUUACCACCUGAGCCAUUUGAGUCAGACAUGGGAAAAUCUGGAGUGAAAACAAGGUCUUCUGAGCAGUCAGUGCUACUUGUCGAUGCAGAUUUCUUGCUGGUUAAGAUAGCUCCUCAGAGGAGGAUUCAGAGACAGAUGACCAGUCGUAUCCCCCCCGAGCCAUUUGAGCCGGUUAUGGAAAAAUCUGGAGUGAAAACAUGGUCUUCAGAGCAGGCAAUGGUACCUGUUGAAGCAUAUAUCUCGAUGGUUACAGGGAGCUCCUCAGAGGAGGAUUCAGAGACAGAUGACCAGUCCUAUAUUCCACCUGAGCCAUUUGAAUUGGAGGGGGUGAUGGCAGUAUCUAAGGGAGCAAAAACCCAUUCUUCACAAAAGACAGUGCUACCCGUCGAUGCAGAUAGAACCAUGGUUGUACUGGCCCACAAACUAGCCCCACCACACAUAAUAGAGACUCUUCCAGAUUGCACACUUACACCAUUGGGCAGAGAACCAGCUACAACCCAUCUAACCGCAACCCCAGCGGAUAGUAACCCACUUCUAGUUGACAAAGCACCAUGUCCACCAAAGAGUACCCCCACACGAGCAGUUUGUAAAGCUACUGCAGUGCCCAAAACACGAAGACCACCACAGCUAACCCAAACUCCAUGUUUAAAGCAGAAGAGCAACUGUUCUCAGGAUCCAAUUGAAACUCCAAUGGCGCAACAGUAUGCAAACAAAAUAUUGGAGAAGAGCACCCCACUAUGCAAUGGUAGAGAAAUUAAUGCAGAUAAGGUUCAAGAUAGUGAGACAACCCUGUUGGUCUCCAAGAAAGGUGAUAAAAACGAUCUUAUAGACAGUGAGAAAACCCCACAUUCCUGCGUUGAUGUAGUGUUCGAGUUACUGGCCAGUACCGCUGGCACAAGCUCUUCGAACUUGCUGCCUGAAUCACUUCGGCUUCUUCAGUGUUAG